GCCAAAUGUGUAAGAUGGUGGAGCCAUAACACAGAAGGAGCAUGAAUUUCUGUAUCGCAAUGUGGAGUGAGAGGAGACAAGUCCUAGUUGACUCUGGUGUUGAGGAAGAACAACCUACAAAAUGCUGCCUUUCUGGAAAAGCAGUAAGGUCAAUUUUCUCCCCAGAUUGUCUUCUCAGAAGAAUCUACUACACUGCCUGGCACAUAAUCCACCCUUAACCCAGUUGUUGACAUAAACUUUAUCCUCCCAACAACCCCAUCAGUACACAGAGCAGGAUUCUCCUAAGUGAAAUGUGGGCGCGAGGCGACUGCACCUCUAUCCCCGCUUGGGCCUCCCCCCGUCAAAGCAUCUUCGAGCAACUCGCAUUCUGCAAUGGCUGAAGAAUGUCGAGUGUGGACGGCUGAGAGGGGGAGAUGCGGGGGGCCAAAUCAAGCCCAGAUGUCAGUCUCCCCCCACCCAAGCUGUAGGCUGGGACAGAGCUCAGAGGAAGAGCCCCCAGUGGGGUUGCCGGAGCUGAGCGUAAACACCCGCUGCCGACUGCCCACCGGGCAUGGCUGCACUUGCGUCGGCCCCCAGUAAGAACGUCUGCAGAGGCCCUUUGUCUCGUCUCUCUCUGAAGUCAUGCUAGGACACAGGUGUGCGUCCCCCACAGCCAGCCGCCAGAGAAGAUGAAUCAGCUUCCCUGAGAGACGUGCCCCACAGCAGUCUGUCAGCUGACACCCGUCUGAAGGAGCACGGUUCCCCUCCUGACCACAGCUAAUGGAAAUGUGUGGUUUGCCCAGGGAGGAAUCUGUGCUAUUCUUUAAAGGAACAAUGUUGACCACAGAUGUACAGCAUCUGGCAUGCGCUGGGGUUUCCCUGAACGAGGAGCACAGCAGCUGGACCUGCCAGCUCAGGAGGUGCCUGUGGGUCUAGGCAGGCACUUUCCUCCUUCUGGCUCUGGAUUGUGGUUCUCAGAAGUUGAGGUGGAAGUUCAAAUGCCUCUUCCUAUCACUUGUAUUUGCAUAAUAUGCUCCCCCUCCCUUAUCUUCUACGACUCUUGACAUACACAACUGAGAUGUCCAAGGACCUACAUCCCUGCCCUAGGUCUCUGCUCUUGCUGUUCUCCACACCUAUUCUGCCAUUUCUCUUUUUUAUGAGUCUUUCCAUUGCAAACGAGAGAAGCCCAGCUGCAACUUCAAGAAAACAAACAAACAAAACAUAAAAACUAUAGUUAUUGAGUAAGGUGAAUGGAUUCAUGUGAAGGAAAUGUAGGAUGCCUUUCCCCAGUCUUAUUCCAUUAAAAAUGUUGAUUCCAGAUUUAGAAGGUACCAGGCAUUGGACUGGGUGCAGGGACUUCAGUGACAAAUAAAAUGGGCAUGAUCUCUGGCCUAAUGGAAUUUUACGUUUUUUCAGAUUGUCAUAUUCAUGAAGAAACUGAAGUUCAGACCAGUGACUGCCAAGCAUCACAUAGUCUGUAAAGAGCAGGGCUGGAGUUUGAAUCCAGUUCUUCUGACUUUAACCCCAAGCUUUUCCCAGCUACUCCCCUGUGGCUUCCAUGGUAACUCAAGUCACUUCCAAAGCCAAAGUGAGAGUCCUGGAGUUCAUUACCAAAGAAACAGGCCGCUGGACCUGGCCAUCUGCCUUGGCAGUUGGGAUUUGGAAUUGAGUUCCUAUUUGGCGUCGGAUCGCUCCCUCCAGAAAUGGGUGGGUUGGGAUGGAAUGGUAAUGAGAGCCCUGUUUGCUCCAGAGGGUCCACUCCCUGUCCUGCUCGCCAGCCAUAGUGGUCGGCCACCCUCUUUCAGCCCCUCAUUGAUUACAAAGAGUUGAUUUCUUCUGAUGCAAGAGGCUGAGCCAAGGGCAGUUAGAGCUGAGCCAUGGCCCCCCCAAAUUACUGCCUUCCCGACUAAAUAUGACAGGCAGCUUUCCCAAGGGCUCUCAUCCAGGGCAAAGAGGCCGGUUCUGGGCUUUCAUCUCCCUGGUUCAGUGUCUGAUGUGUGCACCUUCCUUCCCCACCAGUGCCCAAAUGGCCUGAGAACCAGGCUGCUCUCUCUGCUGGUCCCGGCCCUUCCUGAACCAUCCCCGGAGGAGCCUCGGUGAUGCUGCCAGCAAGACCCAUCCCAAGUCUCUGGUUUGCCCUGGCCCUCAACGUGCUGACCCAGCCCACUGUGGGGUGGUGGCGCCAGGCUGGGGGCUCCUCCUAAACUGGGCACCACCAUCCGGAUGAGUUAAAGAACCAUCUUCAUAUUGAAAACAGUGGUGACUCCCCUCCCGUGACCCAAGCCAGGGCAGAUCUCGCUUCGUCUGCUCAGUUUCAUUAAGGAGAAGUUUACAGUGAGCAGAUGCUCAGGUUAGAACUGAUUCCUUAAUAUUGCUCCUGCCAGAAAGAUAGGAAUAAAGCAUUCGGCCUACAAGAGUUGGCUUCUCGCACAGACUUCUGGAUUUACCCCUUGGAGAAAUGUCACAGAUGGUCUUUUAAUCAUGUUUUAUGUGCCUAGAGACCGAUAAUAAGAAGAACUUCUUAUUUAGCAAAGCAACUUCUAGCCCCUUAAUGACAGGCUAAGUAUCAGCUACUGGCAGGAUAUGUAGUGGGGGAGUACUGUGUAAUUACCAAGCAAAUUCAUAAUUAUUUCUGUCUUAUAAACCAGAAUAUGUGUUAAAUAAUACUUUGGGGCCACUGAAAGUAAUUACGGAGCCCCAUCUCUGUAAGAACAUGUAAUUAGCUUACGGUUGCCCUGUGUUUACUAAGCAAAUCUAUGCGAUUAUUAUCGAAAGCCCAGAUCCUGCCCUCAGAGCCACAAAAGUGCACCCAAGGGCAGGUCUGCAGCAUGUGCACGAGGUCACCGAGCAUGGGGGCCUCCACUUUCCAAAUUCCAGCUCUGCCCUCAUCCUCGGACUCUGAAAAGCCACAAGCGAGGCCUUGAGAGGCAAGUGGCUUGUGUCUUUGCCUACCCCUGCCCCGUGCUCCGGCCUCCCUGCUUCGAGAAGUCAAGUAGUAAGAGGCUAUUCCCACCUGAGCGUCCCUGCCACCAGGCACUCGGGGACCUCAGCAUCUGGCUGCGGCAGCUUCAGCUCCGUAGUUGAAAGAGGCUCUUUGCACAGUCACCUCAGGUCAGGAGUAGGACAUGGCCCCUGCUUUAGAGGGCCCCAGUGGCAGGGGCAGACAGGUGUCAGGGAAGGCAGACUUGGCAUGGCAGGGACUGCAUAGCAUCAAGGUCAAGAGCACAAGUUCCGGAGCCAAUUUGCAUCUGCAAGAUAGAGAUAAGCAGAGUGCCUCCGUCCUGGACCGACGUGUGAGCGCUAUGCCAAUGCGCUGUUGUCGUAACGAGGUAAACGUGGAGGAACGCACUUCCGAGUUGUUUAGCACUCAAAUGCCACCGUGAAAUAAAUAAGGCCUUCCCUGCUCCUGCCCGAGAGAAGUGUUCUCUCCCUGCUCAGAGCUGACCGAGCACCUCAUCCCAGCUGUCUCUUACGGCCGUCCGCGUUGGCUACCAGGCACUGUGUUAACUGCUGUUGAUCUCUGACCUCCCUUACGGAGCUUUCCGAGUUCUGGGUCUGAGCCGUAUUCAUCUCUGUGUCCCUAACACCAAGCACAGGGCCAGAGGCGCAGUAGGCACUCUUGACAUGUUUGUUGAAUGAAUAGCAGUCACUCAAUAAACACUUGUUAAAAAAAAAUAAGGGACUCUUUAAAGGCCUAUUUGACCACGUGGCCAGGGCAAUGAGCCAAAACCACAGAUUUUAUUUUGUUUUUGCUAAUGUGGGUACAUGUGGGGGAGUUGGAUUUUGAAAGGAUUCCAGAAGAGAUUUCUUUACUGCUCAGAUGGGUGAACAAAAGACUAAUUAAUUAAAAACAAAGAAACAAAGGCCCCAAGCAGUAGGCUCCUUUCUGCUCCCUGGGUAUUGACGAGUUGACAUUUGACUGUGAGGCUGGGUCCCCAGGCAGGACCCCAGAUCCUUUUCUCCGGCAUCCCCAGGCCUGGGCUGGCCCCAGCGAGCUGCAGAGCUGAAAGCAUUAUUGUUAACUGCUUUUGUCGGGGAGGUCUCCCAGCUGGUCCCGGGUCACCAUGCUUCACUGUUUGCUUGUGUGUUCUUAAGCUGGGGCCCUUGGGUAUUAGCAAAAGAUUAGAUUUUUCUUUCUUUGUCACCAACAGUUCCUCCCCCUCCUUCUUCCCCUGUCCUCUGUCCUUGUCAUUCCUUCGGUCUCAGUGUGUCCCAGGGUGAAUGUGAAUGAGGCUGGGCACAGGCUGGAAGGUCAGCGGCCUGCCCCUUUUCUGGAAGGCACCCCUUCUCUGGUAGAUUCUUAAUCUUGAUAAUAGGAACAAUGACUAAAUAGGUAUAUUUAACAUUUCAAAGAACUUUCCCACAACUUUUCUAGUCUGACCAACAAGACUAUGUGGCAGGUAUUUUUGUGAGCCCCAUUUAUAGUUAGGAAGUGUAUCAUCCAGAGAGUGAUCUGCCUGUCAUUGCAACCAGUGGGUGCUAGAAGAGAACUCAAGGACACAUUUUCCACCUCCCACCUCUAUGCUUUUUCUAAUCUACCACACUGUCUGCGAUUCUCUGAAAGGCUCGGGAAAGCCUGCCUAAUAGCUAGUAGGCUAAGGACACGUUAGAGGAAAUGCAGUUACAAUUGUAAGCACGCAGCACCCAUUGUCAUUGCAUUUUAGGAUUUUCCAGGUGAUCAAGUCUGGUCAUUUCUUGUGUUUGACAGUAGGAUAGAUGAGGAUGAGCUGGAGGUCAGUAAGACGCAUGUAAACGUCAAAGCUAAAUGUCUGCAAAGUGAUUCACCAACUCUUGUUCAUUGCAUUCAACCAAAGAACAUUCUAAAGCCAGAGCUGGGCGUGGUGGUUGAUACCUGGAAUCCCAGCGCUUUGAGAGGCUGAGGUGGGAGCAUUGUUUGAGCCCAGGAGUUUGC